GGCACAAUGUAUAUUAAUUUUAAUUAUUUACUUUUUCAGGUGAGUUUUCUCUUGUAUCCUGGAAAUGUAGUAGCUACUUGAAACUAGACUUCUGGUUUAUCUUGGUAGUUAUAUCCAAUUCAUGCCUGUUAGCCAUGUAUUCUUCCAAACUUUGGAGAUUUAUGUUUUUCUUGUAGGCUUUAAUUAGUUGGUAGAAUUUUCAUGAAAAGUCAUUAAAACUCAACUCUAUACAUAACUGUUGUCAACCACCUUCUUUUUUAAACAAGCAAUUGUUAGUAAAUCCUAGAAUCCCUAUUAUAGAUGAGAUUUGCCUUCUAUUAGAUACACAGAUGCUCCAAGUAUUUUAGGAGAAAAUAAAAAGCCAUUGAUUAAUCAUUCAAAAGAAUGGACCUUGAUCUUUUAUGCUUUUAUCUUAUCUGAAUACUGGUGAGUAUACCAAAUCAGAUUAAAGGAGGAAUGUUGGUCUCUUAUCCCUUAGAUUUGGUGAAAUCUGGGCUUAUCUGCUGAGAGUCAGCUAUAUUUGUGCUUCAAAAUCCAAACAUCUGUUUUCAGGCAGUGUUUUCUUUUUUUAUUAACCUCCAUCUCAGCCCAGCAUCUGUGCAGUAAUUCUGUAUCACAAUUCCAAAGGUUUUAAACAUACAACAAAUGACAGAGAUCAAUCUAAUAGCAAGGUUAUAUGGUCACCUCUGAAUAUGGAGGGGAAUAACAGACAAAGCAAGAACAGCUUAGUGUGAAAUUCAGUUCUAUUCCCUUUUAUUUCCCCACAGGCUCUUUCAUUUUUAGUGGAGACAUGUCCUUCUGACAUCUUCAUGAGAAAUUGUGGAUGCAACUUCAUGGUGCCACAGGCAUUCAAGCAUUUUUACUUUAAAAACAACCAGAAAAUCUCAACCUGAUGUCUCUUGGUGACUCACGGCCAUUUAAGCUAUUGAAUAUUAUUGGUCAGUUCCCUUGUUUCAAGGUAUUAAAUUAAAGUAAGGCUGUGGGGCA
rnacentral:lncRNA from 1 species